UUUGGAUGUAAAGUAUUUAAACUUGAGUAGUAUUAGUAUAAGGUCUUGAAACUUAAAGAAUUUGGCGGUAUUUUAGUCCAUUUAGAGGAAUCUGUUCCGUAAUCGAUAAUCCACGUUGGACCUUACUUAAUUUAAUUUAGUAUGUAUACCGUCGUUGUUGAAAAUCUUUUUAGGGUAUAUAAUUUUUAUAAUUUUUUUAAAAAAAAUUUUCAGGUCAAGGUGCAGCUAAUAUUUAAGUGGUAAUGGAUUACAAUAUUUUUAUGUAUAUGAAUUAUUAAUAGUAUUAAUUAAUAUAAAGGUGGAUUUAAUAGUAAUAUUUAUUUAGAAUAAAAAUAUGAUUAUAGGCUCUAUAAUAUGU
rnacentral:rRNA from 1 species